rnacentral:rRNA from 1 species
UACGAAGGGGGCGAGCGUUGUUCGGAUUUACUGGGCGUAAAGGGCGCGCAGGCGGCGAUGUUUGUCAGGCGUGAAAGCCCCCGGGCUCACCUGGGAAUUGCGCAUGAAACGGGCAUUGCUAGAGAUCGGGAGAGGAGAGUGGAAUUCCCAGUGUAGAGGUGAAAUUCGUAGAUAUUGGGAAGAACACCGGUGGCGAAGGCGGCUCUCUGGACCGAUACGUGACGCUGAGACG